GUACUGUAGUUCAGAGAGAGCACUCAAUCAGCUUAGAGAGCACUCAGUUGGCUGAGAGAGCACACUGUCAAGUGAAAGAGGACCGGUCAUCUGAGAGAGCAGCCCAAUCAGUAGAGAUCACCCAAUCAGCUAAGAGAGCACCCGAUCAGCGUAGAGCACCCAGUCAGCUGAGAAAGAACCCAAUCAGCAGGCAGCACCCAGUCAGCUGAGAAAGAACCCAAUUAGCAGAGAGCACCCAGUCAGCUGAGAGAGCACCCGAACAGCAGAGAGCACCCAGUCAGCUGAGAAAGAACCCAAUCAGCAGGCAGCACCCAGUCAGCUGAGAAAGCACCCAAUCAGCAGAGAGCACCCAGUCAACUGAGAGAGCAUCCCGAUCAGCAGAGAGCACUCAGUCAGCUGAUAGAGCAUCCAAUGAGCAGAGAGCACCCAGUCAGCUGAGAGAGCACCCGAACAGCAGAGAGCACCCAGUCAGCUGAGAGAGCACCCAGACUGUUGCCAGAUAGGGAAUAGUUCUAAUUUAUUCAGGCAGAAUUUUCUUGCCAAAUAGUUGUUCAAAAAAGGAGAUGUAUGUAUCAAGAAGACACAGAAACCAACGCGUUUCAUCCUAAAGGACUUCCUCAGGGAGGAGGGGAGAUCGGAAGAUGAAGUAAGCCAGAGGUCAGAGACCCAGAAGGAAGCUGGAUGAGAUGGUGACACACAGAAGGAAUGGUC